rnacentral:lncRNA from 1 species
GUCAUCAAGGGCACUGGUGUUGGAGCUGGGCUGCUGAGUUCUGGCCCACCACCACCGCCCCACUCUCCACCAGGAGCCAUGCAGGGCAACUUAGAGCUCAAUCUAGUCAUGUAUCUCCCCGCAUCCUCCCUGCAGCCACCUCACCCAUCUCCAAGAGUUUAAGGUGGACUUCAUUUCCCAGCCUCCUUUGUGGCUAGGUGUUGUCAUGUGACUGCGUUCUAGCCAGUGGACAAUGAGUAUGAAGCCCUGAGGGCUGAGACCACAUCUGCCUGGUUUUCUGUGGCAGCUGCAGCAUCAACACUGGCUCUUCGAAGAGUAGCAGCUGAUGAACAUUACUCCGGCAAACAAUUUUCUCUGCUAGGAACUGGAUAAAUGCAAAGGAAGGAGGGGAGAGUGUGUCAGACGGGGACCCUGCCCUACUGGAGCACACGCAUCACCACCUGGGUUAGGACGGCCUCACCCGUCCCCUGGACCUUCACCUUAUGUCCCAGAGAGGAGACAUCUGCUAGAGCAAAGAAAAUUCAUUGUCAUAUAAAACAAACAAGAAAACACACACACACAUGUGCACACACACAUACAGAAAGCAAAUAAAACAUUGUUAGAUGAUGUAAAUUGUCAUAUCAGUGUGUGCAGUGGUACCUAUAAAACUGUUAUGUGGCUGGGCGUGGUGGUUCAUACCUGUAAUUCCAGCACU